AUGUUCAAAGCGAAUUCUUUUCUUCCCUCUAAUGUGCGUGAUUUUCAUUUCCUUCCUUCUGCCGGUGCAUCUGGUGGCUCACUUAUCGCUUGGAAUGCCGACGAUUUUAAGUGCACUCAGGUGCGGCGAGAUUCCUUCUCUAUUUCAUGCUGGUUCGAGUCCAAUUUAUCGGAUCUCUCUUUCGCAGUCACAAACGUCUACGGACCUUGCGCUCAUGCCGAAAAACAACAUUUCUUAGACGAGCUAAUCACUAUUUGCCCUACCAUUAGUGUCCCUUGGUCUGUUAUUGGAGAUUUCAACCUUACUUUAAAACCUUCCGACAAAUCUAUGUCAAACUUCAACUCUUCCGAGGCGGCUAUGUUUGCAGGUGCAAUCAAUUCCAUGGCGCUCCAGGAAAUCCCCUUGCUGGAUCGCCUUUUCACUUGGGCAAACAACCAGAGUAAUACAAUCUUGGUCAAGCUCGACCGCGUUUUCGUUAACUUGGACUGGGCACUGGUCAACCCAUUUCCCGAAUUGCACAAUUCGUUCGCUCACGCGCACAACCUCGGAUCAUGUUCCCCUCUGUAUGUCGUCUUCCAUAAACAUUCCCAGGCCUUCGGUUUUCAGGCUAAACAACUGGCUAUUAAAAUCCGAGACGUUCUCUGCUGA
rnacentral:rRNA from 1 species